rnacentral:rRNA from 1 species
GCGAACGGGUGAGUAACACGUGAGUAACCUGCCCUGGACUCUGGGAUAACCCCGAGAAAUCGGAGCUAAUACCGGAUAGGACCUUUCCUCGCAUGGGGUUUGGUGGAAAGUUUUUCGGUUUGGGAUGGACUCGCGGCCUAUCAGCUUGUUGGUGAGGUAAUGGCUCACCAAGGCGUCGACGGGUAGCCGGCCUGAGAGGGUGACCGGCCACACUGGGACUGAGACACGGCCCAGACUCCUACGGGAGGCAGCAGUGGGGAAUAUUGCACAAUGGGCGCAAGCCUGAUGCAGCAACGCCGCGUGCGGGAUGACGGCCUUCGGGUUGUAAACCGCUUUUAGUAAGGAAGAAGGGGAGCUUGCUCCUUGACGGUACUUGCAGAAAAAGGACCGGCUAACUACGUGCCAGCAGCCGCGGUAAUACGUAGGGUCCGAGCGUUGUCCGGAAUUAUUGGGCGUAAAGAGCUCGUAGGCGGUUUGUCGCGUCUGCUGUGAAAUCUAGAGGCUCAACCUCUAGCCUGCAGUGGGUACGGGCAGACUUGAGUGGUGUAGGGGAGACUGGAAUUCCUGGUGUAGCGGUGGAAUGCGCAGAUAUCAGGAGGAACACCGAUGGCGAAGGCAGGUCUCUGGGCACUUACUGACGCUGAGGAGCGAAAGCGUGGGGAGCGAACAGGAUUAGAUACCCUGGUAGUCCACGCCGUAAACGUUGGGCGCUAGAUGUGGGGACCUUUCCACGGUUUCCGUGUCGUAGCUAACGCAUUAAGCGCCCCGCCUGGGGAGUACGGCCGCAAGGCUAAAACUCAAAGGAAUUGACGGGGGCCCGCACAAGCGGCGGAGCAUGCGGAUUAAUUCGAUGCAACGCGAAGAACCUUACCAAGGCUUGACAUGACCGAGAACGCCGCAGAAAUGUGGAACUCUUUGGACACUCGGUUACAGGUGGUGCAUGGUUGUCGUCAGCUCGUGUCGUGAGAUGUUGGGUUAAGUCCCGCAACGAGCGCAACCCUCGUCGCAUGUUGCCAGCACGUUAUGGUGGGGACUCAUGUGAGACUGCCGGGGUCAACUCGGAGGAAGGUGGGGAUGACGUCAAAUCAUCAUGCCCCUUAUGUCUUGGGCUUCACGCAUGCUACAAUGGCCGGUACAAAGGGCUGCGAUGUCGUAAGGCGGAGCGAAUCCCAAAAAGCCGGUCUCAGUUCGGAUUGAGGUCUGCAACUCGACCUCAUGAAGUCGGAGUCGCUAGUAAUCGCAGAUCAGCAACGCUGCGGUGAAUACGUUCCCGGGCCUUGUACACACCGCCCGUCAAGUCAUGAAAG